GACGAACGCUGGCGGCGUGCCUAAUACAUGCAAGUAGAACGCUGAAGAGAGGAGCUUGCUCUUCUUGGAUGAGUUGCGAACGGGUGAGUAACGCGUAGGUAACCUGCCUUGUAGCGGGGGAUAACUAUUGGGAACGAUAGCUAAUACCGCAUAACAAUGGAUGACACAUGUCAUUUAUUUGAAAGGGGCAAUUGCUCCACUACAAGAUGGACCUGCGUUGUAUUAGCUAGUAGGUGAGGUAACGGCUCACCUAGGCGACGAUACAUAGCCGACCUGAGAGGGUGAUCGGCCACACUGGGACUGAGACACGGCCCAGACUCCUACGGGAGGCAGCAGUAGGGAACCUUCGGCAAUGGGGGCAACCCUGACCGAGCAACGCCGCGUGAGUGAAGAAGGUUUUCGGAUCGUAAAGCUCUGUUGUAAGUCAAGAACGAGUGUGAGAGUGGAAAGUUCACACUGUGACGGUAGCUUACCAGAAAGGGACGGCUAACUACGUGCCAGCAGCCGCGGUAAUACGUAGGUCCCGAGCGUUGUCCGGAUUUAUUGGGCGUAAAGCGAGCGCAGGCGGUUUGAUAAGUCUGAAGUUAAAGGCUGUGGCUCAACCAUAGUUCGCUUUGGAAACUGUCAAACUUGAGUGCAGAAGGGGAGAGUGGAAUUCCAUGUGUAGCGGUGAAAUGCGUAGAUAUAUGGAGGAACACCGGUGGCGAAAGCGGCUCUCUGGUCUGUAACUGACGCUGAGGCUCGAAAGCGUGGGGAGCGAACAGGAUUAGAUACCCUGGUAGUCCACGCCGUAAACGAUGAGUGCUAGGUGUUGGAUCCUUUCCGGGAUUCAGUGCCGCAGCUAACGCAUUAAGCACUCCGCCUGGGGAGUACGACCGCAAGGUUGAAACUCAAAGGAAUUGACGGGGGCCCGCACAAGCGGUGGAGCAUGUGGUUUAAUUCGAAGCAACGCGAAGAACCUUACCAGGUCUUGACAUCCCGAUGCUAUUUCUAGAGAUAGAAAGUUACUUCGGUACAUCGGUGACAGGUGGUGCAUGGUUGUCGUCAGCUCGUGUCGUGAGAUGUUGGGUUAAGUCCCGCAACGAGCGCAACCCCUAUUGUUAGUUGCCAUCAUUCAGUUGGGCACUCUAGCGAGACUGCCGGUAAUAAACCGGAGGAAGGUGGGGAUGACGUCAAAUCAUCAUGCCCCUUAUGACCUGGGCUACACGCGUGCUACAAUGGUUGGUACAACGAGUUGCGAGUCGGUGACGGCAAGCUAAUCUCUUAAAGCCAAUCUCAGUUCGGAUUGUAGGCUGCAACUCGCCUACAUGAAGUCGGAAUCGCUAGUAAUCGCGGAUCAGCACGCCGCGGUGAAUACGUUCCCGGGCCU
rnacentral:rRNA from 1 species